rnacentral:rRNA from 1 species
CAGCCGCCGCGGUAAUACGAAGGGGGCUAGCGCUGUUCGGAUUUACUGGGCGUAAAGCGCACGUAGGCGGAUCGAUCAGUCAGGGGUGAAAUCCCAGAGCUCAACUCUGGAACUGCCUUUGAUACUGUCGAUCUGGAGUAUGGAAGAGGUGAGUGGAAUUCCGAGUGUAGAGGUGAAAUUCGUAGAUAUUCGGAGGAACACCAGUGGCGAAGGCGGCUCACUGGUCCAUUACUGACGCUGAGGUGCGAAAGCGUGGGGAGCAAACAGGAUUAGAUACCCCAGUAGUCCCUGUCUCUUAUAA